GAGAGCAGGUGAGGAGCUGCCGUGUGGAGACGGAGGCCAGGGCCCUGCCAGGCAGGGCAGAGGGUCCAGUGCGUGGCCAGCUGUCCCCUUAGGCCCCUGGGCUUGGGCGAGCGUCCUGCUGGGCCCCGAGAGCCAGCUGGGGGCCGCCUUUGGGAUCUUGUGCAGAUGGCAAGUACUUGAGGCAGGGUGUCCUGGGGCGGGAGCAGUUUGGGCGUUUCUGUUUGAGAGGUUUAAUGGGGAAAAAAUACCCCCCAGCUCUGCCCAUGGUGUCCUGGAGUGGGGGUCUCCUACCCUCUUGGCCAGGAGCCCGUCCCCCCACCACCUCCUCACUCUGGGAUCCUGAUGGCUGCACCCUCCUCAGAGCCUCAGGCGCUGGCCGGUGCUGGCCCCAGGAGGCCAGUCUUGGUGGUCUCGGUCCCCGUGGCCUAUGGCUGUCUUAGUCCUGUCAGGGGAUGCCCACCCACGAGGGGCCUCCGCCAGGGUGCUGGGGACAGGACUCCACUAGCAAGCGGGCAGGGAGGAGGUGGCCUUCUCUGCUGCUGGACACUCCACCUGCCCCUCCCCCAAGAGGGCAGAGAAGAGGGCAGGGACCAGGACGGUCACAUCCCAGAACCUCCUGCCGCAGACCAUCCUCAGGAGAGCUGCUCGAUGUCCCCACUGCUCUGUUUGUCACUUGUGCAAGGGUCGCUGCCUCACUAGCCCAAAGGAGAAAAGUGAGACCAGCCACGGGGGACAGUGGCAGCUGCGGGAGAGCCGAAAAGAAAACCCAGAGAGACCCCAGAGGGGCAGGGGGGAUGGGCCUGUGUGUCGGUCAGGCCUCCAGCGGAGCUGCAGGACAGAGGCAGAGGGUGUGGACAGAGCCACCCGUUCCCAAGGCGCCCUCUGUCUGUGGAAAGAUCCCGGCUCCCUGCCAACAAGAGACUUACAGAGCAAAGCCCUGCCCACCUUGAUGGCUGGCGGGAGGGUCAGGGCUCCAACCACACCUGCGGGUGAUUUAAAACACUGUCACAGCCCUCCCAGGGGUGUGCCCUACAGACAGACGCACAGACGCUUAGGUUACAUUCCAGGAAGCUCACUGCUCGCAGCAGGAAACCAGGAGCAGCCUGAAGUCUGUUCGGGAAAGACCAGCUGCAGAAAUGACCACCCAUGGAACACUGGAGUACCUUCCCAUGCGGUCCGGGAAGACCCCCAGGGAGAGGGCCACCUAGGAGAAGCAAGAUGUGAACAGCACACUGCCAAUCACGGAGGGAAGGAGGCGAAAAGAGAAGCCGUGUGCAUCACUAGUGUGUCUAUCUGCCUGUCCACCCAGUAGCUGUUGUGAAGGACUGAAUUGUGCCUGCUUCCAGCCCACGUCAGAGCCUCACCCUCCACGUGACUGUGUUUGGAGAUGGGACCUUUAAGGAGAUCAAUAAAUUAAAUGGGACUCUGAUCCGUUAUGACUGGUGUCUUCAAAAGAAGAGAGACACGGGGGUUCUGUGCUCCCAGAAAAAGAAAGGGGUCAUCUGCAAGCCAAGGAGGGAGGGCUGAGGUGGAACCAGAGCUCCCAGUACCCCGGAAUGUGAUAACACAAAUCCCCAUUGUCUAAGCCAUCCAGGCUGUGGUGCUUUGUUAUGGCAGCAGUGGCUAACUGAUACUGACUUUGGUACCAGCAAGUGGGUGCUGCUAUAACAAAUAUCUGAAAACAUGGAGAUGGGCUUUGGGACAGCAGAAUGGGUAGAAGCUGGAAGAUUUUGAGGUGCAUGUUAGAGAAAGCCCAGAGCACCUCGAAGAGACGGCCAGUCCAACACGGAGGUUGAAGGUGCUCUGGGGUCUCAGACGGAGAGCACGUUCACUGGAGGGAGGGAAGGCAGUCCCUGCUACAGGGUGGAAAUCGCGGCUGUGCUGUGUUCCAGUUAAAAGUGACGAACUUGGAAAUUCACCUGAGGAGACUUCUAAGCAGAGUGUCUUGCCACUUACAGUGACAUGAGUAGACACAGGGCCCUGCCCAGCAGACCUGCCAGCCGAGACCAGGAGGGAUGGAGUAGAAGGCACGUGGAUGAACCAGGGCAGCUCCGGGGCGCGGCAGGGGGACAAUCCAGCUGUCGGGGUGUGGGCAUGCAUCAUCUUUUGUGGAAAAUGAAGAGUGGCCCCUGGACGACUCAGGGACAGCAGGGCGGCCACUGCCAUGUGGGCCCCCAGCCUGGGUGUCAGAGGGCCCAGCUGCCACUGCCCAGACUUGGAAAGGCAAAGCUGCUGCCUGGAGCCCCAGGGCCAUGGGGACGAAGCUGCUGCCCACUGGGUCUGGAGGGCAGAGCCCUGAGCCAAGGACAGGGUCCCUGAGGAUCAGAAUAGAAUGGAAUCAGCCUCGCAGGUCUCGGCUGCGUCAGGCACCCAUUGUCCCCCUCCGCCUCGUCCCUCUGCCUCGUCUCUCCCCUUUGGAGUGGAGUUCUGCCGGCUUUGUGCUGUGGCGGCCCUGGACUCCCCCUGCAGGGGGCUUGGCCUAGGCCUCACCCACCGCUGACCUGGGUGGUGUUCAGAUGGGGCUCUGGGCUCAGAGCUGCUGCUGGAUGAGCUCAGGGCCCUUGGGACACAGGGAAGUGCUGUGCAGUGUGAGAGUCGGGAACUGGGGGGCAGAGGUGGACCAGGGGCUGAAUGGAGCCCCCACUCAUGGGUCGAAACCCCAGCUCCCGAAGACCACCUCUGAAGGCAGGCUUUGAGAAGGCACCGAGACCAGGCGAGGUCACUGGGGUGGCCCUCCGUCCAGCAUGGCCGUGUCCUCAGAACAGGAGCACCUCAGGAAGGUGAGCGUGCCCUGGGCAAAGGACCGGCAAGGUCAGCAUGGGAAGGUGGCCUCCCAAGCCCUGCAGCCGGGUCCCAGGGGCCAGCUGCCAACACCUGGGUCCAGGAUCGGGCCUCCAGAACAGAGAGGCAGGUCUCUGUGCUGUGCCGCUGGGCAGCCUCGGCCGACUGACCCC
rnacentral:lncRNA from 1 species